rnacentral:rRNA from 1 species
CAGCAGCCGCGGUAAUACAGAGGGUGCGAGCGUUAAUCGGAUUUACUGGGCGUAAAGCGUGCGUAGGCGGCUAAUUGAGUCGGAUGUGAAAUCCCCGAGCUUAACUUGGGAAUUGCAUUCGAUACUGGUUAGCUAGAGUAUGGGAGAGGAUGGUAGAAUUCCAGGUGUAGCGGUGAAAUGCGUAGAGAUCUGGAGGAAUACCGAUGGCGAAGGCAGCCAUCUGGCCUAAUACUGACGCUGAGGUACGAAAGCAUGGGGAGCAAACAGGAUUAGAUACCCGUGUAGUCCCUGUCUCUUAUAA